GAUGAACGCUGGCGGCGUGCUUAACACAUGCAAGUCGAACGAUGAAGCCCAGCUUGCUGGGUGGAUUAGUGGCGAACGGGUGAGUAACACGUGAGUAACCUGCCCUUAACUCUGGGAUAAGCCUGGGAAACUGGGUCUAAUACCGGAUAGGAGCGUCUACCGCAUGGUGGGUGUUGGAAAGAUUUAUCGGUUUUGGAUGGACUCGCGGCCUAUCAGCUUGUUGGUGAGGUAAUGGCUCACCAAGGCGACGACGGGUAGCCGGCCUGAGAGGGUGACCGGCCACACUGGGACUGAGACACGGCCCAGACUCCUACGGGAGGCAGCAGUGGGGAAUAUUGCACAAUGGGCGCAAGCCUGAUGCAGCGACGCCGCGUGAGGGAUGACGGCCUUCGGGUUGUAAACCUCUUUCAGUAGGGAAGAAGCGAAAGUAACGGUACCUGCAGAAGAAGCACCGGCUAACUACGUG
rnacentral:rRNA from 1 species